AACAUUACUUAGGAAAAAUGAAUGUGAUACAAAAUGUCUGAAAGGGGCGUGUUUAUGUAAAUGUCCAAAUUUUAACAAUAUAUACCUGUCAAUAAAUCAAAUGUAAUUUUGACUGAUGGUUUUUCAAACCUAACAUGCUUCAAGAUGACAUCACUCUGAAGUACUGCGCAAAGAAUGGCCGACAUUCGCCCCUAGGGGGCGCUACAGGCCAUGUCGAAAUUCCCAUUUUCUGGUCUAAAAUGUUCUAAUUUGGUACAAUGGUACUACAGGCCAACAGGAACCCACAAACCAAGAAUGGCCGACAUUCGCCACUAGGGGGCGCUAAAGGCCACGCCAAAAUUCCCGUUUUCUGGUCAAAUUUUUUUUUAAUUUGGUACAUUGAUACUACAGGCAGACAGGAACCCACAAACCAAGAAUGGACAACAUUCACCCCUAGGGGGCGCUACAGGCCAUGCCAAAAUUCCCAUUUUCUGGUCAAAAAUGUUCUAAUUUGGUACACUGAUACUACAUGCCAACAGGAACCCACAAACCACGAAUGGCCAACAUUCGCCAUUAGGGGGCGCUACAGGCCAUGCCAAAAUUCCCAUUUUCUGGUCAAAAAUGUUCUAAUUUGGUACACUGAUACUACAUGCCAACAGGAACCCACAAACCACGAAUGGCCAACAUUCGCCAUUAGGGGGCGCUACAGGUAAUUCCAAAAAAUCCCAUUUUCUGGUCAAACAUUUUCUAAUUUGGUGUAUUGAUUCUACAGGCCGACAGGAACCCACAAACCAAGAAAGGCCCACAUUCGCCCCUAGGGGGCGCUACAGGCCACUCCAAAAUUCCCAUUUUCUGGUCAAAUAUUUUCUAAUUUUGUACAUUUAUACUACAGGCCAACAGGAACCCACAAACCAAGAAUGACCAACAUUUGCCCAUAGGUGGCGCUACAGGCCACGCCCCAAA